CUCUGCAAAUUUCUUAGAAAGUUUUCGAGCCCAACUGUUCCCAGAAUCCAUUUGUAGAAGCAGAAGAGUGACAUAACAGUGGCACAACUGUGAGCACAGUGUGAAAGUGUUCUUGUAUCCCAGAGGAUGGCUAACCCAAGACAGGAACCGCAUCAGAACGCAACACUCUUAAAAGAUCUAAUCCCCAACAGCGGGGGUCUUGUACAAUCCACUAGGAUGUGAGGAGGUCUGUCUAGAAAGAGAUAAGACUAUGUGUAAACCUUUUCUUCUAAUGAUGUUCAGUGUGGGACCACAACUUCAAAUGAUCUGCCAUCAUUUAUGAAUCUGUUAAAAAAACUGCAAGAAUAUCAGUUCUAAGAGUUCUUCUAAUUCU